rnacentral:rRNA from 1 species
CCACACAGGGAUUGCCCUAGUAACGGCGAGUGAAGCGGCAACAGCUCAAAUUUGAAAUCUGGCGCAAGCCCGAGUUGUAAUUUGUAGAGGAUGCUUCUAGGUUGCGGCCGGUCUAAGUUCCUUGGAACAGGACGUCACAGAGGGUGAGAAUCCCGUAUGUGACCGGCUUGCACCUUCUACGUAGCUCCUUCGACGAGUCGAGUUGUUUGGGAAUGCAGCUCUAAAUGGGAGGUAAAUGUCUUCUAAAGCUAAAUACCGGCCAGAGACCGAUAGCGCACAAGUAGAGUGAUCGAAAGAUGAAAAGCACUUUGGAAAGAGAGUUAAAAAGCACGUGAAAUUGUUGAAAGGGAAGCGCAUGCAACCAGACUUGUCGGCGGUGUUCCGCCGGUCUUCUGACCGGUCUACUCGCCGCCGACAGGCCAGCAUCGUCUGGGGGCGCCGGAGAAAGGUGCCAGGAAUGUAGCUCCUCGGAGUGUUAUAGCCUGGCACACAAUACGGUGACUCCCGGGCGAGGUCCGCGCUUCGGCUAGGAUGCUGGCGUAAUGGUUGCCUGCGGCCC